GUGUUGCAUUGCUUGGGAAAUUCAUUGCUGUACGUGAGCCAAAUAUUCGCUAUCUUGGUUUGGAAAAUAUGACUCGGAUGUUGAUGGUUACAGAUGUACAGGACAUCAUUAAAAGACAUCAAGCACAGAUUAUUACCUCACUGAAGGAUCCUGAUAUCAGUAUAAGGAGACGUGCGCUUGAUUUACUAUAUGGAAUGUGUGAUGUUUCAAAUGCAAAAGACAUAGUGGAAGAACUGUUGCAG
rnacentral:misc_RNA from 1 species